GGCCCGUUCGUCUAGUGGCUAGGACGCCAGGUUCUCAUCCUGGUAACAGGAGUUCGAUUCUCCUACGGGCUA
rnacentral:tRNA from 1 species